CUUUCCUGGCUGGAACCAUGGAGGGUGCAGAAGAGAAGAAAAAGAAGGUUCCUGCUGUGCCAGAAACCCUUAAGAAAAAGCGGAAGAAUUUCGCAGAGCUUAAGAUCAAGCGACUGAGAAAGAAGUUUGACCAAAAGAUGCUUCGAAAGGCAAGGAGGAAGCUUAUCUAUGAAAAAGCUAAGCGUUACCACAAGGAAUACAGGCAGAUGUACAGAACUGAAAUUCAAAUGGCUAGGAUGGCACGAAAAGCCGGUAACUUCUAUGUACCCGCGGAACCCAAAUUGGCGUUUGUCAUCAGGAUCAGAGGUAUCAACAGUGUGAGCCCAAAGGUUCGAAAGGUGCUGGGCUCCUUCGCCUCCGGCAGAUAUUCAGCGGCACCUUUGUGAAGCUCAACAAGGCAUCAGUUAACAUGCUGAGAAUUGUGGAGCCAUACAUUGCAUGGGGUACCCAAAUCUGAAGUCUGUAAAUGAACUGAUUUACAAGCGUGGUUAUGGCAAAAUCAACAAAAAGCGAAUUGCCCUGACAGACAACGCAUUGAUUGCUUGAUCUCUUGGGAAUAUGGAAUCAUCUGCAUGGAGGAUCUGAUUCAUGAGAUCUAUACCGUUGGAAAACGUUUCAAAGAAGCAAACAACUUCCUGUGGCCCUUUAAAUUGUCUUCUCCACGAGAUGGAAUGAAGAAAAAGACCACCCAUUUUGUAGAAGGUGGAGAUGCUGGCAACAGGGAAGACCAGAUCAACAGGCUUAUUAGAAGGAUGAACUAAGGUAUCUACCAGGAUUAUUAUUGUAAUCUGGUUAAUAAACAAUCG
rnacentral:lncRNA from 1 species